rnacentral:rRNA from 1 species
CGGGAAUAUUGCGCAAUGGAGGAAACUCUGACGCAGUGACGCCGCGUGCAGGAAGAAGGUUUUCGGAUUGUAAACUGCUUUAGACAGGGAAGAAACAAGACAGUACCUGUAAAAUAAGCUCCGGCUAACUACGUGCCAGCAGCCGCGGUAAUACGACGGGAGCAAGCGUUAUCCGGAUUUAUUGGGUGUAAAGGGUGCGUAGACGGGAAGACAAGUUGGUUGUGAAAUCCCUCGGCUUAACCGAGGAACUGCAACCAAAACUAUCUUUCUUGAGUGUUGGAGAGGAAAGUGGAAUUCCUAGUGUAGCGGUGAAAUGCGUAGAUAUUAGGAGGAACACCAGUGGCGAAGGCGACUUUCUGGACAAUAACUGACGUUGAUGCACGAAAGUGUGGGGAGCAAAC